AUUCAGCUGACGAGUCCUAAAUAAGAUGAAACUUGCGUCCUGGAU
rfam:Schistosoma curassoni strain Dakar, Senegal genome assembly, scaffold: SCTD_scaffold0011326